AAAACUUGUGAUGACGUCAUCAUUAAGAAACAUCCGCCGGUGGGUGAAGAGAAGGGAUGACAACUGAUCGGUACUGAUAAGAUAACAACAUUGGAAAUGCAAAGACUCGAUUUGAAAUCUUUGAUUCAGCUGUACCUUCAUCAACACUCAAGACCAAGACCAAGAGUGCAAAUAGUGCAAUGCCCUCGCUUCUUUUUUUUCAACCACAGCGAAUCUGCACGUUAAUCAAUUCAAUUCCGGAAUCAUAUCAACGCAGCCUGAUACGUACCCCUAUCGAUAAAUGUGAAUGGGUAUUUCUAUCAGAAACUUGAAUCGUUCGUGAAAACUUUCAACUCAACUGCGACUGUGAGUGUAUCUGUACAACCGUACCUAUUUCAUUAUUUUUCUCACUAUACAGCUGUACUUACCCUGCGUGUUUGGCUUGGAGAAAAGCGAUGAAGUAUACACCUUAUAUACGACCAACUUGUGGAAACAGAAAGGCAAAAUUUCGCUCUGUUCGAGCACAGGUGUUCUCAAGAAGUGCUGACAAUUUAUAAAGAAGAAAAAGACAUAUUUUUCGGUCUUUAACAACUCUACUUAAUGGUAUGAUACCAGUGAACCGCAUAGGCCUACAAUGAUUUGAAUUUUCGGAUGAUAUUGUUAUGUACGUUCAUUUUUCGUGAACGUAGAACGCAGCAUGGCGAUUUCAUAAAGACUUAUUGAAACAAGAAUGUCAAAAGAAAAAUCCAAACCUAUAAACCGCGCGAAUUCGUACGAAAAUCAAUCAUAUAUGGAAACAUGUCGCAGCUCUUUUCCUACACUUCUCUCUAGAGGAAUGUCAAAAUGAGUAACUUAUCCGAUACCCAAUGAUUUGACGGAGAAAAUCGAACAAACUGUCCUUUUCAAUAGAAUAUCAACUAGCCUAUUUAGUUUUAUAAAAUGAAAAAAAAACCUAGCUGUUAGAAUUCAUCUCACUGUACGUUCACUAUGGCGUUGCCAAGUUUACUAGUAAAUAAUUUUUUUGUAUGAAUGAAAAUGUCACCUGAAUUACAAAUUUAGUUCCGUUAACGUGGGAAGUGUAACCUAGUUAAUACAUUAUUCAGAUAUA